rnacentral:rRNA from 1 species
UACGAAGGGUGCAAGCGUUACUCGGAAUUACUGGGCGUAAAGCGUGCGUAGGUGGUUUGUUAAGUCUGAUGUGAAAGCCCUGGGCUCAACCUGGGAAUUGCAUUGGAUACUGGCAGGCUAGAGUGCGGUAGAGGAUGGCGGAAUUCCCGGUGUAGCAGUGAAAUGCGUAGAGAUCGGGAGGAACAUCUGUGGCGAAGGCGGCCAUCUGGACCAGCACUGACACUGAGGCACGAAGGUCAGGGGAGCAAACGGG